rnacentral:tRNA from 1 species
GGUAGCUCGUCGGGCUCAUAACCCGAAGGUCAUCGGUUCAAAUCCGGUCCCCGCUACCA